AAAAUUGCCUCCUUAGCAAGGAAAUUAGGUGAGAGAUCUGGCAUAGUUAUCCAAGUUACCCUAAUUGUACGCAUCCGGCUCAAACCACAAAUCACACUUCAAUGUUCUCAUUUGCCAAUACAUCUCCUUAGCCUUGAUAUAAUAUGCAGUAGUGGACAGUAGGUUAACAUAGUCUUCUAGUCCUUCCAGUCAAAUAAGAAUAUGUCUAGUAUCCAAAACUCCUAUAGUACACUCGCCUUUGAUACCACACUAACCCGGAAUUGUUCUUCGUAGCUCCUUAAGAUCCGGUUUACCAUAUGAAAAUUUCCUAAUUAUAGCAUAUUGCAAAUUUUCUUGAAUGAUUAAACUUCUGACCUCUGAUGACAUCCAUGUUAUACUAGGAUCACCACGCAUCAUGACAACAGGUUUAGGUGGAACCCUAGAAUCGUGGCGUUUGGGCCAGUUUGCGCGCACCUCAACUAAAUCGGUAUCAGGUAACUCUGUCCACCAAGGCUAGAACUGAUACGAGUCAAAGAGGUAUCUUAGUAUUCGAGGACGUAAUGGAAGCCAAGACGUUAAGACCCGAGCUUGUGGGGCGCCCAUCCAACGGAACAAGUCUUGAAGUGUGAAGGAAGCCUCCUACACUCCAAAACCGUCCAAGAAGCACACUCCAAGGCCGCCCCUUUGUAAGGGCUCAUUAAGGGCCUUUUGGUCUUUUUGUAAUAAGUGAUUAUAAAUAGAACCUUAUUAAGUCAUUUCUAUCGGACUUAGAUGACAUAUUUUGAGGGCUCAAGAGAGUGUCUUUCAAGGUAGAUUCCUUAUGGCAAGUGUGGACAUCACUUGUGUCGAUAACAAUCUUGGAAACGGUGGUUGCUUGGAAAGUCCAAUUCCGUUGAGGUCCGUAAGAACUUGGUGUUAUUUGUGUGAAGACUUUGGAUCUUAAUGUUUAAUAUACAUUUUGGUUCAUAAGUGUUUAUGCAUUAUAUGUCAAGUUAUCUAUCUUACUUUCUUGUACCCGUUUUGUUCUUGUGUUGUUAAAUUUGUGGAAUUGUUGUUAUUCUCUUGUUGUGUUCUUCGUCUUAUGUAUUAAUCUAGUUUGGGUUGGUUGUUUGGUGUGUUAAACACCAUUGUUCAUCUUAUUUUUUUAGUUUCUUGUUGAAUCCGAGAGUGGUCAUCAAAGAGAUCCUCGGUUCUUUGAACUUGUGAACUGUUUUGGUGUUUGUUCCGUGUGUUCCUUACCUUUCUUGUAUCAUUUGGUAUCAGAGCUAUCUUUGAUUUUUUCCUAACAAGAUCAAUCUUGGGCUUGAGAGUGAAAAAAAAUAGAUCUGGUGUUCUUGUUGUAUUUGGAUGAAUUGUUUUCUAGAUCUAGGUGUAUUUGGUUGUCUUAGUUUGUUUUUUGUGUUGAUUUUCAUUCUCCUCAGCACAUAUUGAGUCUAAUGUAUAAUUUCUUGAGCUAAGUUCAAGUGUGUGGUGGUGUUAAGUAGGUGGUUUUGUUGUGGUGGUGGUGGUGUUCAUCUUGUGUUUUUGAAGUUGUGUUGAAAAGGUUGUUGUUGAUCUUGAAAAUCAUAUAAAGAAGAGAAGACUUUUUGUUUGUCUUGAAAUCAUUUUCAAGACAACACCAAAAUAGUAAGAAGACCAAAGAGUUCCAAAAAGUAUAACUACCAAAAGAAGAAAAAACACUUUUCAAGGAUUGUCCAAAAAAGGAAAAGGGGACAAGACAUCCAAAAAGGUUGUCUUGCCAAUUUGGUGCAAGUAGGUGAAAGACUAUAAAUCUUGAAAGAGAAUUCUAGACCUUGUUUGCCCCAUACCUUGGCAGAAAUUAUCCUCUUCCACAUAUGAAAUUGAACAACUAGUUUCUUGAAACAAAAAAUUUUCUACAUUACAACGUCCAAUAGUUAAGUGCCACAUCAUCAAAGAGCUCAAGAACAUUGGAUUUCCUAGUUUCACUUUCUUAUUUUUGUUGGUUUCCAAUUUUGCUAACUCUUAUACUAAUUGACAACUAGUAAAUACCUACUAAGUUGUAGAUUAGUUGUUGAGUACGCUCUUAGUGUUAGCAUUGUUCUUUUUUGUGUUUUUCUCAUUUUUGAAUCGUAGUAUAUUUUUGGUUCAAGUUCGUACAUUACUUUGUGUGUCAUUUCAAAUAAGAAUCCACUCUGAACUCGAGCCACAAUUGGAACCACGUGACCUUAUUGGGGUACAAGCGGGUUAUCAACACUUGUGAGGCCAAUAGAGUGAAAACAUCAAAAGUGUGUGCUUGAGAGUUUGCGGACUGUUUUGAGACGUUUUGUGAGGAUGCUUUCUUUUAUAACCUUAACUAGUUUGCUGUUUUUUAUGUUUUUAUUUUAGAAUUUAUCUUGUUAGGUACUAUGGCAUUGGAAAAGGUGACCAUGAAUGAUUUGAUGGCUGCCAUAACGGAUAUGAAACACGACUCUAUAGUCGAAUGGAGAGAAUGAAAAGAAUAAUGGGCAGAAUGGAAAGGACUAAAAGCUCUCUUUUCAAGGAGUUGGAUAACUUGGUAGAGUAUCCAAGCCUUUCUAAUCAAGUUCCCAUGAGUGGACAUAUUCCACGUGAGCUACAAGGUAAUCAAACUAACUCUUGCACUCAAGUAAAUGAGGCUCGUAGCCAACUAAGUGUGAAUGAUAGUUUGUUUUUAAGUGAGCCGAAUGUUCCUUCAUCUUGGGGAGAUAAUGUAAAACUUAAAAUUGUGGAUAGACUAGUUGAUCCACCUAGUGUUGAAGACAUGGUGCCUAGUGAUAGUAUAUUGUCUUAUGGAAGUCAUGAAGACCAACUUGUGUAUGAAAAUGGGGAUGUUGAACAUGUUGGCCGAUUGACUAAGGAUGAACCUCUAGUUGCUUUUGUUGUAGAUCAAGCUAGUAUAGAGGGGACAUUUGAUCGUAAUUGUAGUAUUAUUGGGGUAAGAAAGUGUUUUUUCAACCCGUGGCCAUGGACAUUCCACUCAUUUGACCCCGGUGAUCAUUUAAAAUACGGUGAUGAUGUCUUUUGGAAUGACUUGAAUGUGCAUGAAAUGUAUGGCUUUCCUAUCUCGGCUUUCAAGUCUAUUUGUUGUUUCAAGAAGAGUCUAUGUUUUCUAUUUAUAAGCAACUUUUGUUCCUUGUUUCUUGUCAUACUUAUGUGGAUAGACUAGUUGAUUCUUUCUUGGGAGGGUAUUCGGGUAAGAGGGAUGCUUGGUUAUAUGUGAAGUUUGAGCGACCUUGGCAAGAUUCUAUGAUUUAUUACACUAACUCUAACCCUCAUACCUUGAGGAACUUGUGUUUGCUUGUCCUUCCUAUUAUUUUGCAAGGUUCAGAUUUGAGGAUGAAUCCUUUUUCAGGAAGGGGAGGAUGAUACGGGUCAAAGAGGUAUCUUAGCAUUCGAGGACGUAAUGGAAGCCAAGACGUGAAGACCUGAGAUUGUGGGGCGCCCAUCAAAGGGAACAAGUCUUGAAGUGUGAAGGAAUCCUCCUACACUCCAAAACCGUCCAAGAAGCACACUCCAAGGCCACCCCUUUGUAAGGGCCCAUUAAGGGCAUUUUGAUCUUUUUGUAAUAAGUUAAUCUAGAUUAUAAAUAAAAUCUUAUUAGGUCAUUUCUAUCGAACUUAGAUGACAUACUUUGAGAGCUCGAGAGAGUGUCUUGCAAGGUUGAUUCCUUGUGGCAAGUGUGGACAUCACUUGGGCCGAUAACAAUCUUGGAAACGUUGGUUGCUUGGGAAGUCCAAUUCUAUUGAGGUCUUGUAAGAACUUGGUGUUAUUUGUGUGAAUACUUUGGGUCUUAAUGUUUAAUAUAUAUUUUGGUUCAUAAGUGUUUA